UGCCUCCUGGCGGCUCCUGAACUCCAGCCCCCUCUCUAUCAGCCGCUCACUCCGUCUCAAUAUGUCUCAAGAUGGCGGCCAAUGUGGGAUCGAUGUUUCAAUAUUGGAAGCGCUUUGAUUUACAGCAGCUGCAGAGAGAACUCGAUGCCACCGCAACGGUAUUGGCGAACCGGCAGGAUGAAAGCGAGCAGUCCAGAAAGCGGCUUAUCGAACAGAGCCGGGAGUUCAAGAAGAACACUCCAGAGGAUUUGCGCAAGCAGGUAGCGCCGCUGCUGAAGAGUUUCCAAGGAGAGAUUGAUGCACUGAGUAAAAGAAGCAAGGAAGCUGAAGCAGCUUUCUUGAAUGUCUACAAAAGAUUGAUUGACGUCCCAGAUCCCGUACCAGCUUUGGAUCUCGGACAGCAACUCCAGCUCAAAGUGCAGCGCCUGCACGAUAUUGAAACAGAGAACCAGAAACUUAGGGAAACUCUGGAAGAAUACAACAAGGAAUUUGCUGAAGUGAAAAAUCAAGAGGUUACGAUAAAAGCACUUAAAGAGAAAAUCCGAGAAUAUGAACAGACACUGAAGAACCAAGCCGAAACCAUAGCUCUUGAGAAGGAACAGAAGUUACAGAAUGACUUUGCAGAAAAGGAGAGAAAGCUGCAGGAGACACAGAUGUCCACCACCUCAAAGCUGGAGGAAGCUGAGCAUAAGGUUCAGAGCCUACAAACAGGUUUGAUACUCUCGUUCCUAGUACCAUGGAUGUGGGAAGGACCCAGGGGGAGAGUUGGGUCAGCCCCCUGACCGCCCCGGUCCCCGCGGAUACCUGUUGCUCUUCGGGCCGUGGGAGCUGCCAGGAGCCCACGCUGAAGAAUUCCGCAGCACGCCCGCCAGCUGCUGCGCCUCAUUCCUCACUGACUUUGAGUUGUUAAUGUAGAGGUGGGAGGAUCUCAAUUCCAUUUUCAUCCC
rnacentral:sRNA from 1 species